CGUAGAGAAAUCGAGUCUUAAUAGGGCGUUUAGUUGCUGGGUAUAGACCCGAAACCAGGCGAUCUAUCCAUGAGCAGGUUGAAGGUUGGGUAACACUAACUGGAGGACCGAACCCACUGUCGUUGAAAAGCCAGGGGAUGACUUGUGGAUAGGGGUGAAAGGCUAAUCAAGCCUGGUGAUAGCUGGUUCUCCCCGAAAGCUAUUUAGGUAGCGCCUCGGACGAAUACCAUAGGGGGUAGAGCACUGUUUCGGCUAGGGGGUCAUCCCGACUUACCAAACCGAUGCAAACUCCGAAUACCUAUGAGUACUAUCCGGGAGACAGACUGCGGGUGCUAACGUCCGUAGUCAAGAGGAAAACAAUCCAGACCGCCAGCUAAGGCCCCAAAAUCAUAGUUAAGUGGGAAACGAUGUGGGAAGGCAUAGACAGCUAGGAGGUUGGCUUAGAAGCAGCCACCCUUUAAAGAAAGCGUAAUAGCUCACUAGUCGAGUCGGCCUGCGCGGAAGAUGUAACGGGGCUAAAACUAUGUGCCGAAGCUGCGGAUUUGACAUUAGUCAAGUGGUAGGGGAGCGUUCUGUAAGCCGAUGAAGGUGUAUUGAGAAGUAUGCUGGAGGUAUCAGAAGUGCGAAUGCUGACGUGAGUAACGACAAAACGGGUGAAAAACCCGUUCGCCGAAAGACCAAGGGUUCCAGUCCAACGUUAAUCGGGGCUGGGUGAGUCGACCCCUAAGGCGAGGCCGAAAGGCGUAGUCGAUGGGAAAAUGGUUAAUAUUCCAUUACUUCUGUGUAAUGCGAUGAGAGGACGGAGAAGGCUAAAUCAGCCUGGCGUUGGUUGUCCAGGUGAAAGGAUGUAGGCAUGUAUCUUAGGCAAAUCCGGGGUACUCUAUGCUGAGAUCUGAUAGCAAGCUGUACUUGUACAGCGAAGUGGUUGAUGCCAUGCUUCCAGGAAAAGUCUCUAAGCUUCAGUUACACAGGAAUCGUACCCGAAACCGACACAGGUGGUCAGGUCGAGUAGACCAAGGCGCUUGAGAGAACUCUGCUGAAGGAACUAGGCAAAAUGGUACCGUAACUUCGGGAGAAGGUACGCUGUUGUUGGUGAUGGAACUCGCUUCCUGAGCUGACGACAGCCGCAGAAACCAGGCCGCUGCAACUGUUUAUUAAAAACAUAGCACUCUGCAAACACGAAAGUGGACGUAUAGGGUGUGAUGCCUGCCCGGUGCUGGAAGGUUAAUUGAUGGGGUUAGCGUAAGCGAAGCUCUUGAUCGAAGCCCCAGUAAACGGCGGCCGUAACUAUAACGGUCCUAAGGUAGCGAAAUUCCUUGUCGGGUAAGUUCCGACCUGCACGAAUGGCAUAAUGAUGGCGGCGCUGUCUCCAGCAGAGGCUCAGUGAAAUCGAAAUCGCUGUGAAGAUGCAGUGUACCCGCGGCUAGACGGAAAGACCCCGUGAACCUUUACUGCAGCUUGACACUGAACUUUGACCUUACUUGUGUAGGAUAGGUGGGAGGCUUUGAAGCUGGAACGCUAGUUCCAGUGGAGCCGUCCUUGAAAUACCACCCUGGUAAUGUUGAGGUUCUAACUCUGUCCCGUGAUCCGGGACGAGGACCGUGUCUGGUGGGUAGUUUGACUGGGGCGGUCUCCUCCUAAAGAGUAACGGAGGAGUACGAAGGUGCGCUCAGCGUGGUCGGAAAUCACGCGUAGAGUAUAAAGGCAAAAGCGCGCUUAACUGCGAGACCCACAAGUCGAGCAGGUACGAAAGUAGGUCUUAGUGAUCCGGUGGUUCUGUAUGGAAGGGCCAUCGCUCAACGGAUAAAAGGUACUCUGGGGAUAACAGGCUGAUACCGCCCAAGAGUUCAUAUCGACGGCGGUGUUUGGCACCUCGAUGUCGGCUCAUCUCAUCCUGGGGCUGAAGCAGGUCCCAAGGGUAUGGCUGUUCGCCAUUUAAAGAGGUACGCGAGCUGGGUUUAGAACGUCGUGAGACAGUUCGGUCCCUAUCUACCGUGGGCGCUGGAAAUUUGAGAGGAUCUGCUCCUAGUACGAGAGGACCAGAGUGGACGAACCUCUGGUGUACCGGUUGUGACGCCAGUCGCAUCGCCGGGUAGCUAUGUUCGGAAGGGAUAACCGCUGAAAGCAUCUAAGCGGGAAGCCUACCUCAAGAUAAGAUUUCCCUAGGACUUUAUGUCCUCUAAAGAGCCGUUCGAGACUAGGACGUUGAUAGGUUGGAUGUGGAAGCAUAGUGAUAUGUGAAGCUGACCAAUACUAAUUGCUCGUGAGGCUUGACU
rnacentral:rRNA from 1 species